CAGUAGCCGCGGUAAUACGUAGGGUGCAAGCGUUAAUCGGAAUUACUGGGCGUAAAGCGUGCGUAGGCGGUUCGUUAAGUCUGUUGUGAAAUCCCCGGGCUCAACCUGGGAAUGGCAAUGGAUACUGGCAAGCUAGAGUGUGUCAGAGGAUGGUGGAAUUCCCGGUGUAGCGGUGAAAUGCGUAGAGAUCGGGAGGAACAUCAGUGGCGAAGGCGGCCAUCUGGGACAACACUGACGCUGAGGCGCGAAAGCGUGGGGAGCAAACAGGAUUAGAUACCCCCGUAGUCCCUGUCUCUUAUAC
rnacentral:rRNA from 1 species